CCCACAGCCGGAGGAGCCGCCGCAGCGAGAGGCCUGAGCGCCGCCCCUACGGAGCGGCCCUGCGAUCAAAACAGCGCACACACCCGGCACAGCCCAAAGUGAAGACAUGCGCAAAGAUUACUCUUUAAAACGGUUAUGAGACUUCUAAAAAGUCAUUAUACAGUUGACCUUUGAACAACGUGGGUUUGGAUUGAGUGGGUCCACUAACAUGUGAAUUUCUUUUACCAAAUACACUACAGUACUACACGAUCCACAACUGGUUAAAUUCAGUGGCUGCAGAACUGCAAAUACGGAGGACUGCCUAUAAAGUUAUAGGCAGACUUUCAACGCUACAAAAGGGGCCCAGAUCCAACAGCUCAGAACUCCCCCGUCCAGUCACUGGACCACCUCUCGGGCACAGCAUCAGAGGACAGCUGUAGGACCUCACUUACAUGUGGAAUCUUAAAAGGCUGAACUCAUCGAAUCAGAAGACAGCUGAAGCCUCAGGUUGUGGAGGGGGGAGACACGCCAUGCAGCAUGUGGGAUCUUCCUCUCCCAACCAGGGAUGAAUUCCGUGCUCCCUACAGCAGAAACUCAGAGUCUUAACCACUGGACUGCCAGCCAAACCAUGUGCCCUGAGUCUCUAAAGAUCGGUUCCCUCAUUGUCCGUGCAUCCUGACUCUCCACACAAACCGCCAGUGACGUGGCUCCACUCAGCUCUCAACCACAGCCAUGGAAACUGCCUCUUUCUGGUCUCGAUUGAAAGGGCUUCUGGGAGAACGGCUGGUUCCCGAUCCAAGGAGAAAGAAAAGAUGAGUCAACCUUGCAUGUAUGUUUAUCCUGCUGGUGGGAUGUCAUUAAAUAUGGAAAAUCAUGCAAAUAGAGUUCCCAAAAAAAUGGAUCUCUGGAUACUAAAUUCCCCCUGGAUUUACUGUGUUCACAGCUGGGAAACCUGACUCCUCAAAAAAGACACUUUCAAGAUCCAGAAUAAAGGAGAGAGGAUAAAGCCAUGACCUCUCAGUGGUGUGAACAGAGCCGCAGAUGUGAGAGCCUGGUGUGGAGGCAAUAACUUCUGCUGAGACUGCCAUUUACCAAGACCUCCUAUUCGCAGCAAUUUAAGAGGAGCCAUUCAGUCCUCCCAGUAAUCCUGCCGACGAUCACCUCCAUCUUAUCCAUACGCAUGAGGAUUCUGGUAAAGAAUGGAAGGAACCAUAUUUUUUUUUAAAGGGGUGAUUGCACCAUUAAUGAUUAUUCAUUAAAUCAAAAACAUUUUCA